AACGAACGCUGGCGGCAGGCUUAACACACGCAAGUCGAGCGCCCCGCAAGGGGAGCGGCAGACGGGUGAGUAACGCGUGGGAAUCUACCCAUCACUACGGAACAACUCCGGGAAACUGGAGCUAAUACCGUAUACGUCCUUCGGGAGAAAGAUUUAUCGGUGAUGGACGAGCCCGCGUUGGAUUAGCUAGUUGGUGGGGUAAUGGCCUACCAAGGCGACGAUCCAUAGCUGGUCUGAGAGGAUGAUCAGCCACACUGGGACUGAGACACGGCCCAGACUCCUACGGGAGGCAGCAGUGGGGAAUAUUGGACAAUGGGCGCAAGCCUGAUCCAGCCAUGCCGCGUGAGUGAUGACGGCCCUAGGGUUGUAAAGCUCUUUCGCAGGUGAAGAUAAUGACGGUAACCUGAGAAGAAGCCCCGGCUAACUUCGUGCCAGCAGCCGCGGUAACAC
rnacentral:rRNA from 1 species